rnacentral:misc_RNA from 1 species
UCCGGCUUAUCACCGGCAGUCCCCUUAGAGUGCCCAACUGAAUGAUGGCUACUAAAGGCGAGGGUUGCGCUCGUUGCGGGACUUAACCCAACAUCUCACGACACGAGCUGACGACAGCCAUGCAGCACCUGUGUUCCGGCCAGCCGAACCGAAGGAGCUCAUCUCUGAUCUCCACACCGGACAUGUCAAAGGCUGGUAAGGUUCUGCGCGUUGCGUCGAAUUGAACCACAUGCUCCACCGCUUGUGCGGGCCCCCGUCAAUUCCUUUUAAUCUUGCGAUCGUACUUCCCAAGCGGGAUGCUUAAAGCGUUAGCUGCGCCACCGACAGGCGAACCUGCCGAUAGCUGGCAUCCAUCGUUUACGGCGUGGACUAC